rnacentral:tRNA from 1 species
GGGUUUGUGGUGUAAUUGGCUAACACACUUCUUUUGCAAAGAAGAGUUUAGGGUUCAAGUCCCAUCAGACACCCCA